ensembl:snoRNA
GGAUCGAUGAUGAGAAACCCUGUCUGAGGAUGCUGAGAGACUCAUGUCAAUGGGAAUCUGAGGUCC